rnacentral:rRNA from 1 species
UCUUUAAUGGAGAGUUUGAUCCUGGCUCAGGACGAACGCUGGCGGCGUGCCUAAUACAUGCAAGUCGAGCGGGAUUAUUUAGAAGCUUGCUUCUAAAUAAUCUAGCGGCGGACGGGUGAGUAACACGUAGGCAACCUGCCCACAAGACAGGGAUAACUACCGGAAACGGUAGCUAAUACCCGAUACAUCCUUUUCCUGCAUGGGAGAAGGAGGAAAGGCGGAGCAAUCUGUCACUUGUGGAUGGGCCUGCGGCGCAUUAGCUAGUUGGUGGGGUAAAGGCCUACCAAGCGACGAUGCGUAGCCGACCUGAGAGGUGAUCGGCCACACUG